AUUGAACGCUGGCGGCAGGCCUAACACAUGCAAGUCGAGCGGAUGAAGGGAGCUUGCUCCUGGAUUCAGCGGCGGACGGGUGAGUAAUGCCUAGGAAUCUGCCUGGUAGUGGGGGAUAACGUCCGGAAACGGGCGCUAAUACCGCAUACGUCCUGAGGGAGAAAGUGGGGGAUCUUCGGACCUCACGCUAUCAGAUGAGCCUAGGUCGGAUUAGCUAGUUGGUGGGGUAAAGGCCUACCAAGGCGACGAUCCGUAACUGGUCUGAGAGGAUGAUCAGUCACACUGGAACUGAGACACGGUCCAGACUCCUACGGGAGGCAGCAGUGGGGAAUAUUGGACAAUGGGCGGAAGCCUGAUCCAGCCAUGUCGCGUGUGUGAAGAAGGUCUUCGGAUUGUAAAGCACUUUAAGUUGGGAGGAAGGGCAGUAAGUUAAUACCUUGCUGUUUUGACGUUACCAACAGAAUAAGCACCGGCUAACUUCGUG
rnacentral:rRNA from 1 species